AGAGUUUGAUCCUGGCUCAGAGCGAACGCUGGCGGCAGGCCUAACACAUGCAGGUCGAGCGCCGUAGCAAUACGGAGCGGCAGACGGGAGAGUAACACGUGGGAACGUGCCCUUCAGUUCGGAAUAACCCAGGGAAACCUGGACUAAUACCGGAUACGUCCGUAAGGAGAAAGAUUUAUCGCUGAAGGAUCGGCCCGCGUCUGAUUAGCUUGUUGGUGAGGUAACGGCUCACCAAGGCGACGAUCAGUAGCUGGUCUGAGAGGAUGAUCAGCCUCACUGGGACUGAGACACGGCCCAGACUCCUACGGGAGGCAGCAGUGGGGAAUAUUGGACAAUGGGCGCAAGCCUGAUCCAGCCAUGCCGCGUGGGUGAUGAAGGCCCUAGGGUUGUAAAGCCCUUUCGGCGGGGAAGAUAAUGACGGUACCCGCAGAAGAAGCCCCGGCUAACUUCGUGCCAGCAGCCGCGGUAAUACGAAGGGGGCUAGCGUUGCUCGGAAUCACUGGGCGUAAAGCGCACGUAGGCGGCUUUUUAAGUCAGGGGUGAAAUCCUGGAGCUCAACUCCAGAACUGCCCUUGAUACUGAGGAGCUUGAGUCCGGGAGAGGUGAGUGGAACUGCGAGUGUAGAGGUGAAAUUCGUAGAUAUUCGCAAGAACACCAGUGGCGAAGGCGGCUCACUGGCCCGGUACUGACGCUGAGGUGCGAAAGCGUGGGGAGCAAACAGGAUUAGAUACCCCCGUAGUCC
rnacentral:rRNA from 1 species